AUGAACGCUGGCGGCGUGCCUAAUACCUGCAAGUCGAGCGCACAGACGAGGAGCUUGCUCCUCUGACGUUAGCGGCGGACGGGUGAGUAACACGUGGAUAACCUACCUAUAAGACUGGGAUAACUUCGGGAAACCGGAGCUAAUACCGGAUAACAUGUUGAACCGCAUGGUUCAACAGUGAAAGACGGUCUUGCUGUCACUUAUAGAUGGAUCCGCGCCGCAUUAGCUAGUUGGUAAGGUAACGGCUUACCAAGGCAACGAUGCGUAGCCGACCUGAGAGGGUGAUCGGCCACACUGGAACUGAGACACGGUCCAGACUCCUACGGGAGGCAGCAGUAGGGAAUCUUCCGCAAUGGGCGAAAGCCUGACGGAGCAACGCCGCGUGAGUGAUGAAGGUCUUCGGAUCGUAAAACUCUGUUAUUAGGGAAGAACAAAUGUGUAAGUAACUAUGCACGUCUUGACGGUACCUAAUCAGAAAGCCACGGCUAACUACGUG
rnacentral:rRNA from 1 species